AUCUUUCCGGUUCAUGAGUAUGAUGAUUGGUGCGUUCACGGACUAUCCGUGAAAGGUGCAGCCCUCUUGUUACGCCUCAAACCGUAUGAAC